UGAGGUGAAGGUCUCCUGGUGAUUAUUUUAGUGAUUUUUAUACACUAAGUAGCUAACAACAGAACAGAACAGAACAGAUAUGGCCUUAGAAUUGGGUUUCCCAGCAGUAGCUAUUGGCAUUGUUGUGGUUGCAGCGUCUGCUAUACUUGCCAAGACUUACAUCUAUGACAACAAGACGAAAAAAACACCAGUCGAACAAUUAAAACAAGACUUACAAAGUACUGGGAAAAAAAUAGACAAAGAGGUUAACAAAGUAGUAAAGGAUGUAAAAGACAAGUGCAAGGAUUGAUUUAAACAUUUGUAUUGUACUUUUGAAGUUAAACAAAAAUUAGACAUGCCUCUGUGUGAACAGUUUAUUUAUAAAAUUGAGGAUAAGUAAAAA